AUUGAACGCUGGCGGCAUGCCUUACACAUGCAAGUCGAACGGCAGCACGGGGGCAACCCUGGUGGCGAGCGGCGAACGGGUGAGUAAUGCAUCGGAACGUGUCCUCUUGUGGGGGAUAACCAGUCGAAAGACUGGCUAAUACCGCAUGAGAUCGAAAGAUGAAAGCGGGGGACCGCAAGGCCUCGCGCGAGAGGAGCGGCCGAUGCCGGAUUAGCUAGUUGGUGGGGUAAUGGCCCACCAAGGCGACGAUCCGUAGCUGGUCUGAGAGGACGACCAGCCACACUGGGACUGAGACACGGGCCCCAGACUCCUACGGGAGGCAGCAGUGGGGAAUCUUGGACAAUGGGCGCAAGCCUGAUCCAGCCAUGCCGCGUGUGUGAAGAAGGCCUCGGGUUGUAAAGCACUUUCGGACGGAACGAAAUCGCGCGCAUGAACAAUGCGCGUGGAUGACGGUACCGUAAGAAGAAGCACCGGCUAACUACGUGCCAGCAGCCGCGGUAAUACGUAGGGUGCAAGCGUUAAUCGGAAUUACUGGGCGUAAAGGGUGCGCAGGCGGCCCCGCAUGUCAGGCGUGAAAUCCCCGGGCUCAACCUGGGAAUGGCGCUUGAAACUACGGGGCUGGAGUGUGGCAGAGGGAGGUGGAAUUCCACGUGUAGCGGUGAAAUGCGUAGAUAUGUGGAGGAACCACCGAUGGGGGAAAGGGCAGCCUCCUGGGGCCAACACUGACGCUCAUGCACGAAAAGCGUGGGGGAGCAAACAGGAUUAGAUACCCUGGUAG
rnacentral:rRNA from 1 species